GAUGAUGCUGUACAAGUAAUGAUGUCAGGUACUUAUUAAAAAAAAUUACAUUACAAGUACGUUUCAUUAAAAUACGCUAUUUUGAUUGGCCAACAGUAAUUUUACGUCAGUAUGAAAUAAACCUUCAUUUCAAAAUAUUUAACAUUCAUGAAGACACAUUCAUACAUCGAAAUGUAGAAUUCAUGAUGACACGCGUUUCCACAACAAAGUGCAAAGGUA
rnacentral:lncRNA from 1 species